rnacentral:rRNA from 1 species
UGGGGAAUCUUCCGCAAUGGACGAAAGUCUGACGGAGCAACGCCGCGUGAGUGAUGACGGCCUUCGGGUUGUAAAGCUCUGUUAAUCGGGACGAAUGGUUCUUGCGCGAAUAGUGCAAGGAUUUGACGGUACCGGAAUAGAAAGCCACGGCUAACUACGUGCCAGCAGCCGCGGUAAUACGUAGGUGGCAAGCGUUGUCCGGAAUUAUUGGGCGUAAAGCGCGCGCAGGCGGAUGGGUCAGUCUGUCUUAAAAGUUCGGGGCUUAACCCCGUGAUGGGAUGGAAACUGCCAAUCUAGAGUAUCGGAGAGGAAAGUGGAAUUCCUAGUGUAGCGGUGAAAUGCGUAGAUAUUAGGAAGAACACCAGUGGCGAAGGCGGCUUUCUGGACGAAAACUGACGCUGAGGCGCGAAAGCCAGGGGAGCGAACGGG